CCUGCCUGUGGGGGGAAUGACAGCAAACCAGCCCAGCUUGCUGCAAAGAUUUCAGUUAGACACCGGGAACAACUUUCCACAGCCAGGUGCUGUAAAAAGGAGCUCGCUGAACAAGUGGCAGGCCGGGACAGGCGAGGCACUCGCCCGGCGAAGGGGAGGGCACCCUGGCACUGGGGGGGCUUUCUGGGGCACCGCCGUGCUCCUUGCCUGGACGGCCGAGGCAGAGCACCUGAAACGACGAGCCUCAAGAGACAGAGUGUCCCCAGAGGGAGCCCAGCCCAUGCCAAACAGGGAUUUUAUCGAUCUUUUUUAAAAAAAAGAGUGACUUUAACUCUGGCUCCCCUCCAAGGAGAGGGCCUAGUAUUGCAACUCAGUCUCAGUAACGCAUCCGCGACCUUGGUCAGACAGCAAAAGUGUUGGAGCCGAUGCUUAUUUUUACCUCCCUCUUGACAUGGUUCAGUUCUCCUCGCAGCCCUCCAGGAUGUUUGCAUGUGCUCCCACCCCAGCCGCUUCCCUCCCUCCCAGCCACUUCCCUGCCAGCGUGGGCAGGAUUUGCCCCCAGGCCCAGGGCAGUGGGACCCUGUGGGAAUCUGCUGCUGGAGAAGCGGAGGGUCCCCAAGUCGCUUGUGCGGCAGCGUAGCUAGCACUGGAGGAAGCGACCGUCUUGGGAAAGGCUGGGGAUGGACUUCGGUAGGUGCUGAUCUCCCUCCACCUUCCCCUUCAACCACUCAACACCUCCAUGGAAUGACUUAGUGGAAAACACUCCAUCCCUCGACGGCUCUGCAGGGAGAGCAGAUCUCUUCACAGAUCACCUGAUAGAGCUGGAAAGGAAAAACAACCAGUUUCUGGGCCCACAAGCGGUUUUCACUGUGCAGUACCGCUCUUCCCCAGCACGCGUCCUCCGCCACCAGCCAGACGCGCACAGCCAGCACCGAGCGGCCAUGCACAGCCCACUGCGGCCCAGAGCCCCCACUAGACCCAGCCCACAUGUCCCAGCUCCCCACCUGCAAGCAAACCAGGAGAUGAAGUCGUUUGUCUUCCAGGCUGUAUUUCAAGCUUACGAUUUGAAGGUACACAACAGCCGCAACUGCUACGCGUCCUCAUCACCCUGCUCUAUUCUCCGCGUGCUUCUCGAAACAGCAGUGGUAAAAUUCAUUGGUUUACAGACAAGGAUCUCACAAGGAGGAAUAUAAAGGCACUAAUCAACAUUUCAAUGAUUAUCACUAGCAUUUCUUUCCUGGUAUUAAAAACAUCCUUUAAAGUUCCAGGCAAUCCUCUUAUCCUGUUCCCACUCCAUACUAAACACACCACAAGGCAACUGCUGUCAGCAGUUCACGAAAGUCAGAGCCAUGACACCAAGUCCAUUUGUGAUCCCACGCACUGAGGUGAAGCAAUCAGGGAUGAGAUAAAGCUGGCCACCAAUUCCAGAAGUCCUACGAGCUGGUUCCUGGAUCACAGCAUCCUCCUCCAGAAAGCCCCUGCCCAGCAGCCUCCGUCUUUGCGAGCAGAGCUUCUUACUAACACAAAUCUGAGGGCCAAGUCCUCAGCCCUCACUUUGGUCUUCCCCCAGAGAAAGCCCCUGCGAGGCCAUGUUACUGCAGCAGCCAUCUCAGAAGAGCUGCUGGAGAAGCUGCUGUACAGCAACAUGCAGCUUCUUCAGGCACCGAAGUGGAAAAGUGGGGAGAAAAGAGGCAUGUACAUAAUUCAGAGCAUGCAGCCACCAGUGCUGACACUGCCUCCCAACCCUGGCUCUUCCCCUAGCCCCAAAGACAGCAUGGAACAGCACAGACGCUGUCGCAGUCCAUGGGGUGACAGGUUAGACACUGCAAGAACAUUUCCAAAAGCAGUAAUGGCACUUUGUGGUUCACGAAGCACUUGGGGGGGGGGGGGGAGGG